rnacentral:rRNA from 1 species
UAGGGAAUAUUGGUCAAUGGAGGCAACUCUGAACCAGCCAUGCCGCGUGAACGAAGAAGGCGCUCUGCGUCGUAAAGUUCUUUUAGAGGGGGCGAAAAUGUAGGAUUUAUCCUAUACUGACGGUACCUUCGGAAUAAGCACCGGCUAACUCUGUGCCAGCAGCCGCGGUAAUACAGAGGGUGCAAGCGUUAUCCGGAAUCACUGGGUUUAAAGGGUGCGUAGGCGGGGAGAUAAGUCAGAGGUGAAAGCUCGUUGCUUAACAACGGAAUUGCCUUUGAUACUGUUUUUCUUGAAAUAUGUUGAGGUUGGCGGAAUGAGACAUGUAGCGGUGAAAUGCUUAGAUAUGUCUUAGAACACCGAUUGCGAAGGCAGCUGACUGGACAUUAUUUGACGCUGAGGC